rnacentral:tRNA from 1 species
GUCGUCGGUCGGGCAGGCGCGGCGGUCCUUCGCCAUCUCCAGGACGGCGAGGGCGUACUCCCCGGCGGCGAUCGUCGCGUCGUCGGUGAUG